UACAGAGGGGGCAAGCGUUGUUCGGAAUUACUGGGCGUAAAGGGCGCGUAGGCGGCCUGCUAAGUCGAACGUGAAAUCCCUGGGCUCAACCCAGGAACUGCGUCCGAUACUGGUUGGCUUGAAUCCGGGAGAGGGAUGUGGAAUUCCAGGUGUAGCGGUGAAAUGCGUAGAUAUCGAGAGGAACACCUGCGGCGAAGGCGGGUUGCUGGGCUGACACUGACGCUGAUGUGCGAAAGCUAGGGGAGCAAACAGG
rnacentral:rRNA from 1 species